UUUCAUUCUCGCUCGACUCGUUUUCUCUUUUUCUGACCUCCGUCUCAAAACUUCCUUUUUUCUUCGCUCUCUCCGAUCGAGUUGCAAAGCGUUCGAAGAUAUCUCCAGAUUCUACUCAGGCUUUUAAUGUUCAAACCAGUAAAGAUUUACAUCUUGACGGGGUGGUUGGUCAGGUGACUGCAAUGACUGUUGCAAAUGGAAUUCUUUUUGCUGGAACAAGUUCUGGCAGUAUAUCAGUCUGGAAAGCUACCAACUCUGAGUCUGAUCCUUUCAAUACCUCACAUCUCUCGAGGGACAUCACAGUGGUGAAGUCAAGUCACUUGUUUUGUUGUUGGAGGUCAACUGCUAUACUCUGGCUCUGUCGAUAAAACAAUAAAGGUGUGGGAUCUCAACACCCUGCAAUGUAUAACGACCCUGAAACAACAUACCGACACUGUCACGUCACUCUUAUAUUGGGACAAGUGUCUGAUAUCCUCUUCCUUGGAUGGGACCAUUAAAGUUUGGGCUUGUUCUGAAAAUGAUGUUUUGGAAGUUACUCAUACACGCAGACAAGAACAG